rnacentral:rRNA from 1 species
GACGAACGCUGGCGGCGUGCCUAAUACAUGCAAGUCGAACGCAUUUUCUUUCACCGUAGCUUGCUACACCGAAAGAAAAUGAGUGGCGAACGGGUGAGUAACACGUGGGUAACCUGCCCAUCAGCGGGGGAUAACACUUGGAAACAGGUGCUAAUACCGCAUAAUUCCAUUUACCGCAUGGUAGAUGGAUGAAAGGCGCUUUUGCGUCACUGAUGGAUGGACCCGCGGUGCAUUAGCUAGUUGGUGGGGUAACGGCCUACCAAGGCUGCGAUGCAUAGCCGCCCUGAGAGGGGGACGGGCCACCCGGGGCGUGAGACCCGGCCCACCUCCCUACGGGAGGCAGAGGGGGGGAAUUUUGGGCAAUGGACGCAAGUUUGACCAGCAAACCCCGGUGGGGUGAAAAGGGUUUUGGGGUGUAAAAACCUUUUUUUUAAAGAAAAAAAAGGAGGAGGGGGGAAAGUUCACCCCUUGACGGUUUUUAACCAGAAAGCCCCGGCUAACUACGU